UGAUAUGUUUGAUAUUAAGUUG
rnacentral:miRNA from 1 species